UACGUAGGGUGCAAGCGUUUGUCCGGAAUUAUUGGGCGUAAAGAGCUCGUAGGCGGUUUGUCGCGUCUGCUGUGAAAACUCGGGGCUUAACCCCGGGCCUGCAGUGGGUACGGGCAGACUAGAGUGCGGUAGGGGGAGACUGGAAUUCCUGGUGUAGCGGUGAAAUGCGCAGAUAUCAGGAGGAACACCGGUGGCGAAGGCGGGUCUCUGGGCCGUAACUGACGCUGAGGAGCGAAAGCAUGGGGGAGCGAACAGG
rnacentral:rRNA from 1 species